rnacentral:rRNA from 1 species
UACGAAGGGGCUAGCGUUGCUCGGAAUUACUGGGCGUAAAGCGCGCGCAGGCGGUCUUCCAAGUCAGUGGUGAAAGCCCGGAGCUCAACUCCGGAACUGCCAUUGAAACUGUAAGACUUGAGGAUGAGAGAGGUGAGUGGAAUUCCCAGUGUAGAGGUGAAAUUCGUAGAUAUUGGGAAGAACACCGGUGGCGAAGGCGGCUCACUGGCUCAUAUCUGACGCUCAGGCGCGACAGCGUGGGGAUCAAACAGGAUUAGAAACCCUUC